rnacentral:rRNA from 1 species
UACGAAGGGGGCUAGCGUUGCUCGGAAUCACUGGGCGUAAAGCGCACGUAGGCGGAUCUUUAAGUCAGAGGUGAAAUCCCAAGGCUCAACCUUGGAACUGCCUUUGAUACUGGGGAUCUCGAGUCCGGAAGAGGUGAGUGGAACUGCGAGUGUAGAGGUGAAAUUCGUAGAUAUUCGCAAGAACACCAGUGGCGAAGGCGGCUCACUGGUCCGGAUCUGACGCUGAGGCGCGAAAGCGUGGGGAGCAAACAGG